rnacentral:rRNA from 1 species
UACGGAGGGUGCGAGCGUUAUCCGGAAUUACUGGGCUUAAAGGGUGCGUAGGCGGCCAAGUAAGUCAGGAGUGAAAGUUUGCGGCUCAACCGUAAAAUUGCUUUUGAUACUGCUAGGCUGGAAUUAGGAUGAGGUCAGCGGAAUGUGGCAUGUAGCGGUGAAAUGCAUAGAUAUGCCAUAGAACACCAAUUGCGAAGGCAGCUGGCUAGACCUGGAUUGACGCUGAGGCACGAAAGCGUGGGGAGCGAACAGG